AGUGAACGCUGGCGGUAGGCCUAACACAUGCAAGUCGAACGGCAGCACAGGAGAGCUUGCUCUCUGGGUGGCGAGUGGCGGACGGGUGAGGAAUACAUCGGAAUCUACUCUGUCGUGGGGGAUAACGUAGGGAAACUUACGCUAAUACCGCAUACGACCUACGGGUGAAAGCAGGGGACCUUCGGGCCUUGCGCGAUUGAAUGAGCCGAUGUCGGACUAGCUAGUUGGCGGGGUAAAGGCCCACCAAGGCGACGAUCCGUAGCUGGUCUGAGAGGGUGAUCAGCCACACUGGAACUGAGACACGGUCCAGACUCCUACGGGAGGCAGCAGUGGGGAAUCUUGGACAAUGGGGGAAACCCUGAUCCAGCGAUGCCGCGUGUGUGAAGAAGGCCUUCGGGUUGUAAAGCACUUUAGUUGGGGAAGAAAAGUAAUAAGUGAAUAAUUUAUUGCUCUGACGGUACCCAAAGAAUAAGCACCGGCUAACUCUGUGCCAGCAGCCGCCGUAA
rnacentral:rRNA from 1 species